GGAGUAGGACAGAUGGCCGCUGCCUUGCCCUGGAUGGCAGGGGGGAGGAAAGUCCGGGCUCCACAGGACAGGAUGCUGGGUAAUGCCCAGUCCCGGUGACGGGAAGGAUAGUGCCACAGAAAGUAAACCGCCUGCCUCUUAUUGAGGAAGGUAAGGGUGAAAAGGUGAGGUAAGAGCUCACCAGUCCCACCGGUGACGGCGGGAGCUAGGUAAACCCCAUCCGGAGCAAGACCAAAUAGGGGGGCGCCAAGGAUGGUCCGUCCGUGCCCCCGGGUAGGUUGCCUGAUCCUGCCGGCAACGGCAGGACUAGAGGAAUGGUCAUCAUCCCGCAGGGGGUGACCGCUGAGGGAAACAGAACCCGGCUUACGGCCUGCUCCGACA
rnacentral:RNase_P_RNA from 1 species